rnacentral:lncRNA from 1 species
GUAUAUAUAUGUAUAUUCCUCCUUUUUAAUACCAUGUAUAUAUUUUAAUAUAUUAUAUGUAUGUUUUGUUUUGUAUACUAUGUAUAUAUUACGUAUAUGCCUUUAAUAUUAUUAGGUAUUUAUAUAUAUAUUUAUAUAAUAUUAUUAAUAAUUGUUUUUUCACAUUACUACCAUUUCUAAUAUAUAUAUGUAUGUAUCGUAUAUGCCUUUAUAAAUAGUAUGCAUAUAUCGCUCGUACUAUUAGUUAUAUGUAUAUCUAUUUUCAAUGUAUGUUUAUGUAAUGUUUUUUAUAUUAUCAUUAUCUUUGUAUUGUUACCAUCGUUAUAAUAUCUUUCAUUCACUAUUACAUUAUUGCUUUCAUCAUUAUUAUUAUUACUAACAUGUAUAUAUAUAUACUACAUAUUUUUAUUAUAUUACGUAUACAUUUUUAUAUGUACACUACGCAUAUGCAUUUUUAAAUAUUGUAUUAUUAUUAUAUACAUAUAUACUUUUCCCAUAUAUUUCUUAUUACUUCAAUUAUUAUGUAUGUACCUCUUAAUACAUUAUGUAUAUACUACUGUCGAUAUCAUUGUCAUUUUAUUUUACCAUUUUUUUGUUACAUUUUUCUAUUUAUUUGCUUGCGUAUUCAAUUACUUCAUUUUUCUCAAGUUCGUGUUUACAUUCACAGAUUUCUAACCAUUAUCUUUGACAUAGUCACACCUAUUAUUAUGUUCUUAUAAGUGCUAAUACCAUAUUAUGCUUUUAUGUCUUACAAUAAAUCGCGUUACUUUUUACUCAAUAUAUUAAAACAAUUCUUUCAUAAAAGCAAAAUCCGUUAUUAAGUAAUUCAAAAUAAUCGGGCCUUAACUUACUGAAUUUCGACUUUUCUCAUUUAACCUAAAUAAUAAAAUAUUCUUUUAAAAUCACGAUACAAAUCUUAAAAAUGCUUAUUUUCGAAGAUAUAAAACGUGUUACCCUAACUUACGAGAUAUGACACUUCAAAACUUUAAAACAAGAUCUUUUACAAGUAAAAUCAAUGUUAGAUAUUCGAGAAAACGUCUCAACUUACUGGAUCUCGAUCUUCGUUCCCUCUAAUUAACUAAAUAACCUUUUAAAAAAGGUUCGACAUACCGUUUUAAAUUCUUUCAAAUUUUCAAUCCUUGACACUAAGACACUAAUUAAUCAACUAGGUACCAAUUUUAAACGUAUCGACGUUACUAAUCCUUCCUCGUGCGUGACCAACUCCCAAACCUAUUUUCUUAAUUUACGUAGAGCAAAAUUAUUUUUUAAAUAAAUAAAAUUAUUUAUUAAAAAACUACUUUAACGAGAUGACCACAUCACACCUAGUCGAAAAGGAUCAAUCGUGACUACCGGUUUUUGUGUUCAUCAUUUUUCUAAAAAGACUUCUUUAUAUGGAAAUUGACAAACAUAAAAUGUAUUGAGAACAAAUGGCAAGAGUAAAUUGGCUAAAAUUUGGGUACAAAAAUUUUGUAUUUUUUCAUAAGUUCACCUCAGCUCGAAAACGAAGAAACAUAAUCUCCAUGUUGGAGCUUAGAAAUUAGCGAGGCUGCUACAAUAUUUUUUCAAAGGUUGUUUACGUCAAACAUAAUUGGCGAUCUGUCUCACUUGCUAAUGGGUAUUAAAAAGAGUUUUUCUUAUGAAUUAAAUACUAAACUUUCGUCACCGUUCAAUGCAAAAGAAAUUAAGACAGCUUUACAAGGUAUGGAGUCUACUAAAGCACCAGGUCCCGAUGGUUUUCCAGCGUUAUUUUUUCGGAGGUACUGGCACAUUGCUGGAAAAGACGUUAAAAAUUUUUGUUUGGAAUUUCAAAUUCUGACCAGAAAUGUGAAUUUUUCAAACAAACGUACAUUGCGCUUAUUCCAAAAAGUCCAAAUCCCAGAACACUAGUUAAUUUUAGACCUAUAAGCUUAUGUACGGUUAUCUACAAAUUUGUGGCAAAAGCAAUAACAAAUUGUCUUCAAGAUGUUAUUGGGUGAUGUAUUUAUCAGGCACAAAGUGCUUUCAUUCUCGGGAGAUUAUUUAGGAUAAUGUUCUUCUAGCUUAUGAAAUCCUACAUAGUUUUUGCCAGAAACGCACGGGUAAUAGGGAUAUAUGGCAGUGAAACUUAAUAUUAGGAAAGCUUAUGACAGUCGAAUAGGGUUUUCUUCAGGCCAUAAUGUUACAGAUGGGAUUCACAAGAGACUGGGUGGCACUUGUUAUGAAGUGCAUUACUACAACCUCGUAUGCAGUAAAUAUUAACGGAAGUAGGGCAAGAAUUUUUUAACCAACUAGGGGGCUUCGACAAGGUGAUCCUCUUAGCCCUUUUCUUUUUCUUAUGUGCAGUGAGGGUCUCUCAUUAUUGAUGAGAUUGGCAAUGGGGGAAGGGCUAUUAAAAGGAAUAAAGACUUGUAGAAGAGGCCUAGAGAUUUCCCACCUUUUUGCAGAUGAUUGCAUUCUGUUCGACGAAGCAACAACAAGGAAAGCAAUGAUGAUCAAAGAAAUAUUGAAGGAAUAUAAAAGCUGUUCAGGCCAAUGUGGAAAUUUUGAAAAAUCAACAGUAUUUUAUAGUUCGAUUUCAAAAGGAGACAUGAAGAACGAAAUUUCAGAGUUCCUAGGAGUGAGGGUUUCAACAAACUUGGAGAAAUACUUCGGGCUCCCUAGCAUGGUUGGCAGAAGAAAGGAGUCUUUUCUAAACCUUAAGGAAAGGAUUUCUUGGAAAUUUGAAGGACGGAGUGGUAGACUAUUAUCACAAGGGGUAAAGGAUAUCUUCAUCAAAUCAGUUCUUCAAGCAAUACCUACCUAUGCUAUGUCUUGUUUCUUCCUACGAAAUUCAUUGUGCGGAGAAAUUGAAAUGAUUUUCGCGAAAUUCUGGUGGCAAAAAGGGUAUGGAAAGAGAGGUAUUCAUUGGUGCCAGUGGAAGCACAUGUGUCACCCUAAGGAAGAAUAUGGAAUGGGCUUAAGGAAUAUGUCUCAAUUUAAUAUAGCGCUUUUAGCAAAACAAGGGUGAAGGCUUAUAACCAAUCCAGAUUCUUUAGUUACGAGAGUUUUUAAAGCGAAGUACUUCCCGAAUGAGGAUUUUUUAAAUUCAUGUUUGGGGAAUAAAAACUCGUAUGUUUGGAAAAAUAUAUGGGCGACUAAGGGUAUCUUGGCAAAAGGUCUUUGUUGGAAGGUGGGUACGGGAUUGAACUUCUCUAUUGCCAACGAUGCAUGGAUUCCAGGUGCAAUUAAUUUUAGAUUAUCCUCGGUUCCUUUUACUAUGACAGAUUUUAAAGUUGCUGAUUUGAUUAAUAGUGCUGAACGUAAAUGGAAAGGAGAGUUAAUUGUUGAUACCUUUGGGGAAGAAGUAGCAGGAUCCUUCGUAUCCCUCUGGCGAGAGAGCCUCACGAUGAUUUCAUGGUGUGUAGUGGUGAGCCGUCGGGAGAAUUUUCAGUGCGGAGCGCCUACAAACUAUUACAGACUUCGGAUCCUAGAGCUUAUGCUUUACAAAACAUCUAUAGGGAUUUUUACAAAAAAAUAUGGCUCCUAAAACUACCUACAAAAAUAAAAAUUACAAUCUGGAAACUUUCAUGAAAUUAUUUGCCAACUCGAGUGAACAUGCAGCACAGGAAGUUAGUGUCCAACUCAGUUUGUCCCCGUUGUAAUGCAGGAGCCGAGACCAUGGAUCAUAUUUUUAGAAAAUGCCCUAUUUCAGUUUCAGUAUGGAGUGUAUUAGAAAUCCCAAAUAUUCUACAGGAUACAGAUUUAGAGUUCAUACAGUGGGUCACCUGGAUUUUUACCCAUUACUCUCCUCCUCAAAGUAGACGAAUCGGUUGUGCGUUAUGAGCCAUCUGGGGAGACAGAAAUACUCGAAUCCAUGAUAAAGUCAGUAGAAAUGGUCAGGAUAUAGCAGCCUUUGUAAAAAACUAUAUUAAAGAACUUGAUGGGGUCGAAUCAAGAAACUCAAAAUACUGGAAGGAGGUUGAGAAAUGGAAACACCCACCGGGACAAGCGGUAAAAAUCAACUUUGAUGGAGCAUAUGAUGCGAGACUCUUCCAAUCGGCUUCAGGGAUUGGGGUUAGAAACAGAGAAGGAGAUGUUCUCCUUUCUUGCUCGAAAAUUCAUCAAGAAGUCCCCUCCACUUUCGCUGCGGAAGCGAUCGCUUGCAGGAAAGCAACCCAUAUAGGAAUCAAAAUGAAAAGGUCAGACAUUAUCAUUGAAGGAGAUUCACUAUCGGUUAUUAAAAAAUGCAAGAUGGAAAGACACGAAAAAUCACAGAUCGGGGCAUUUAUUCAUGAUAUUAAGCAGGAAACAUCUAGAUCAAAGCAUCUCAGAUUCGAACAUACUCCAAGAUCAGCAAAUGGCCUAGCACAUAUACUAGCAACAGAAACUUUGAAGACGCAAGAAGAGAUAUACCUUGUUGAAGGAGUUCCUCGAUUUGCAGAACUGCAGAAGGUUAUUGACAGUGAACGAGAACCAGAUUGAAGAUAAGAGAAGAUGAAUGGGACAAGGGGAAAUGUUUUUCAAAAUGAACAGAUGAAACGUCUUUUGGUGAUUAAAACCCCCUCAUAAAUGAAAUGCCUUGAGAAAUGGAGAUGACAGAUAGAUGAAGUGACAGGCAUCAGGAUUUUCUGAUUAGGCAUAUCUUUGGUUGAAAAUAGCUGUUCGUCUAGAGUUUUCUAUCUUCUUAGACUUUAUUCGGGCCUAGUUACACUUGGGCCUUUUUCCAUGUUUUUUUGUUUUUACUUUUUUUUGGACUGACUUGUUUUUCUUUUAUUUUGUGAUUAUAGAAGCCCAAUCUGAAUUUUAAUCACAAA